GACGAACCGUGCGAACGUUGUUCGGAUUCACUGGGCUUAAAGGGCGCGUAGGCGGACGGUCAAGUCAGGGGUGAAAUCUUUCAGCUCAACUGGAAAAGUGCCUCUGAUACUGAUCGUCUCGAGGGAGGUAGGGGCAUGUGGAACUUCCGGUGGAGCGGUGAAAUGCGUAGAUAUCGGAAGGAACGCCGGUGGCGAAAGCGACGUGCUGGACCUCUUCUGACGCUGAGGCGCGAAAGCGUGGGGAGCGAUCCGG
rnacentral:rRNA from 1 species